rnacentral:rRNA from 1 species
UACGUAGGGUGCGAGCGUUAAUCGGAAUUACUGGGCGUAAAGCGUGCGCAGGCGGUUAAGUAAGACAGAUGUGAAAUUCCCGGGCUCAACCUGGGAACUGCAUUUGUGACUGCUUGACUAGAGUGCGGCAGAGGGGAGUGGAAUUCCGCGUGUAGCAGUGAAAUGCGUAGAUAUGCGGAGGAACACCGAUGGCGAAGGCAACUCCCUGGGCCUGCACUGACGCUCAUGCACGAAAGCGUGGGGAGCAAACAGG